rnacentral:rRNA from 1 species
AUGCAAGGGAGCCGCAGCGCGACCGUCUUCGACGACCUACCGGAGUGGGUGGUCGUCCACGAGAUCCUCGUCCGGCUGCCUGUCAAAGACGUACUCCGCUGUCACGCGGUCCGCAGGUCGUGGCGGUGCGGCACUUCCACCGACGCCUUCAUCCUCGACCACCACCGCCACCAACCCUCGCUCCCCAUCAUCAAUCACGGGAAGGGCAUCUCCCGCGUCGUCAGAACCUUCGGUGAUGAUCUGAAGAUACGGCCCGUCCUUCGGCACGAAUACGACGUCAUUGUACACCGCGCCACCUGUGAUGGCCUCCUCAUUCUGUCGCAACAAGAACAAUCCGAUUUCUACGUCUGCAACCCGGCCACCCGCAAGUGUGCGUCCCUGCCACAUCCUCCACGACGACCACACUUCCUGGUCAGCGUAGCCGGGUUCUACCGGCAUCACACAUCUGGAGAACACCGGGUGCUUUGGGUGUCAUACCCCUGGUCAUACACACUGCUCGAUGGGAGCGACGUAGCAAUUGAGUCGCUUGAGUACUUCGUCCUCAUGGUCGGAUCGGAUCAGCCAAGAAGCAUCCAGUGGCCGACAGUUCCAGAACAAAGGUUUAUUCCUGAUAAUUGGUUCUACCAUUGCCGAGCAGUGCACCAUCGUGGUAGCCUGCAUUGGGCAAUGGGUCUCAACAUAACGGUAUUUGACACAAUAGCCGAGACAUUCCGGCAGAUGAGCUGCCCAACACAAUUGGGCGAUAUGGUGUCAUUGAUGGAUAUGGGUGGUGCCCUAGCAUUGUGCCGCACGUCCUCUGAAUGUGUCACUACUUUAGAUGUUUGGGUGUUGCAGGACUACGAUGCUGAAACUUGGGGCUUUUUGUACCAGAUUAACUUGUCAGUGAUGGAGGCAUCACUACCACUUGAUUUGCAAAUCAAAUAUGUUCGUAGCAUGGCUGUGAUGAACGAGCGUGAGUUGUUGGUUCAGAAUCGUCGUAGCCGUAUAUUACACUGUGAUAUUGAUGGCGUGUUUUUAGGAAAUGUGGAAAGUGAAGAGCAUGAAAACCACUGGACACUUAGUUGGCAUCGCCUCCAAGAGAGCAUGAUUUCACUUCCA